rnacentral:rRNA from 1 species
GACGAACGCUGGCGGCGUGCCUAAUACAUGCAAGUAGAACGCUGAAGGAGGAGCUUGCUUCUCUGGAUGAGUUGCGAACGGGUGAGUAACGCGUAGGUAACCUGCCUGGUAGCGGGGGAUAACUAUUGGAAACGAUAGCUAAUACCGCAUAAGAGUAGAUGUUGCAUGACAUUUGCUUAAAAGGUGCAAUUGCAUCACUACCAGAUGGACCUGCGUUGUAUUAGCUAGUUGGUGGGGUAACGGCUCAACAAGGCGACGAUACAUAGCCGACCUGAGAGGGGGAUCGGCCACACUGGGACUGAGACACGGCCCAGACUCCUACGGGAGGCAGCAGUAGGGAAUCUUCGGCAAUGGACGGAAGUCUGACCGAGCAACGCCGCGUGAGUGAAGAAGGUUUUCGGAUCGUAAAGCUCUGUUGUAAGAGAAGAACGAGUGUGAGAGUGGAAAGUUCACACUGUGACGGUAUCUUACCAGAAAGGGACGGCUAACUACGUG